rnacentral:tRNA from 1 species
UAAAGGUCUUAUAAACAC